AUACGUCGGUGGCGAGCGUUGUCCGGAAUUCUUGGGCGUAAAGAGCAUGUAGGCGGUUUUUUAAGUCCGGAGUGAAAAUGCGGGGCUCAACCCCGUAUGGCUCUGGAUACUGGAAGACUUGAGUGCAGGAGAGGAAAGGGGACUUCCCCGUGUAGCGGGGAAAUGGGUAGAUAUUGGGAGGAACACCAGUGGCGAAGGCGCCUUUCUGGACUGUGUCUGACGCUGAGAUGCGAAAGCCAGGGUAGCGAACGGGAUUAGAUACCCCGGUAGUCCUGGCCGUAAACGAUGGGUACUAGGUGUAGAAGGUAUCGACCCCUUCUGUGCCGGAGUUAACGCAAUAAGUACCCCGCCUGGGGAGUACGUCCGCAAGGAUGAAACUCAAAUGAAUUGACGGGG
rnacentral:rRNA from 1 species